GUGGGUAUAGGUCAGUGGUAGAGUGCAUGCUUAGCAUGCACAAGGUCCUGGGUUCAAUCCCCAGUACCUCUA
rnacentral:tRNA from 1 species